rnacentral:lncRNA from 1 species
CUAGCAUACCGGUAGUUAGGAUUCACAGUAGCCAAUAAUCAAAACAUUGUAAUGCCGUUCCAGUAUGUACAUUGCCAGAGAGUAGGUAACGCUACUGUGAGCUAGCUAGCAGAGUUAUAUAUUAGUUAAAUUAACCAUCUUAAGGGCAUGUUUCUCUCAGCGUGUGGUGUCUAUAGUACGUCUAGCCAGUCGGCUGAGGAGGCAAAGAAGGGCAAAAUAGAAGGCAAGGGUCAGGUGUCUUGUUUUCCUUCCUCGGACCCAACUGAAGGCACUCAAAUUGGGAGCCAUACCCUGGAGACCAUGACCUAUUCGAGUCAUUCACUUAAAAGCCGUAAACUCUCAGCCGUCCAAUCAAACACAAGGCUAGAGCUAUUAGUCCCUCACGCAUUCAAGAGCAAGAAAAAGCACAAACUUAAAAUGGAGCCUUCCAUUGUCUCUGCUCCAGUCCUCCCUAGUGUAGCUAUUAGCAACCAUGGGCUUGAACCUGACUCUGAGUGCAUUGCUCCCACAGACAACACUCAAGCAAAUCUGAGAUCAGAUCUAAAGCAGAUCUCUGUGUCUCAUACCUGCUCUGACCUGCCCCUGAGUCAGUCCCCCUCCAUGCACUCCCCUUGCCCUCCCUCCACAGAGCACAUCAAUAGACAGCCCCUGCCAGUCACACAUGCCUCUUACCUCUGCUGCAGCCCUGUGGCACAGGUCCACGACCCAUCCCUAACCGCAGCCCCCAUUAGAGCCACAAAGCAUAGACAACACCGGAAAAGGGGCCUAAAGCACAACAGAAAAGGAGUCUCUCCUCUCUACAUGCGACACAAGAGGCAGUCGCGGUGCCGGUGUAACAUCCAGUUCUGGUGCCAGGUGUGGCGGAAGUGGGGGCACAGAAAGUGGCGGAGAGCCAGGUGUCUCCUCUGGUUCUCCAUGAUCAGAGCUAAAAGACUGGCGGAAACCAGCAGGCGCCUGUCUAUUUUCAACACACAGAUGUCUUAUAAAUACACUGGGGAAUUGGCGGAAAGUCAGAAAUGGCAGAAGGUACGCAAGGGAAAAGAAGUGGUCACUACGGCCAUUGCAUGUGAUGGUCAAGGCCUGGACAGUGCAGAGGACAGCCAGGCAAAGGGGAGUUUGGAACAGAAGGUGUGUCCGUCUGUGGGCACAUCAGUGCUGUGUAGCAACCCUGUCAAGGAGGAGGACCAGGGCAUAGUCAGAGCUAGGGAUGCGGCCACCGCCACUAAACAGGACACGUUGGUGACAAAGCGAGCAGUGCCGUAUCAACCUCAGAGCCAGCGGGCGUCCACGGACGUCAGCUGGGAAGCAACAACGACGCUCAUCCAUGAGUUCCUUGACUGCUUCUAUGUGAAGUACGGAAGUUUCAUCCCAUUGAGCAAGAGCGAUGUACUGAGGCACCUUAACAAGAAACUGAACACUGACCUUACUAAGCGGCAAGUACAUAAUAAAUACAACAGAGAAGACAUGGUUUUGGUUCCCUCACUUCAUAAUGCAAUAUGA